UGUUAGAGAAAAGUUGUUACUCGAAUGUCGUCGCGAACAAGAAUAUUCUUGCGUCCAACUAUGUUGUGGCAGUUGUGAACUAAUACUUAAUAUGGGUAGACGUGUGCGUGUUGUGUUACGAUUAUUUGUUUUGAAGUUUAUUCAAACGACGCGUAAUCUCACGGUGUAACAUCUUUUGACGUGACGCAAAAAUAUCGAAGAGUAGAAUGAAGUGUAAUUUUUCCGCGAACAUUUAUGUUUGGUUACAUUUAAAUGUUUGGUGCAAAAGUACAGGACAGCGUCUAAGUAUAUUGCGUUGGCUUACGCGAUGUCGUUGCAGUUAUGAUGUUGCAAGUGUGUACCCAGCCUAACAUGCCGAUAAUUAAUACGUGAGAUGAUUUGAGGAAUCUGGUCUGUUGAGGUAGAUCUGAAAUAUGUACAUCAUCAUAUACAUUAAUACCUGGGUAAUGUAUUCUAUAACAACACCUUUACCAUUUACAUACUAUAAUAAUAAUCACUUGUUAUAGCAUCUGUUUACCUUCUAUGCUAAAUUGUCUCAUUUUAUAGUGUGUUUACAUUGAAUUAUAUAUUAUAGUGUUCCAGUAUUCGAGUAUAAAAAUACCGUUUCCAAUAUAUAUAUCACUACAUAAUAUCUUCAUAUUAAUAAUAUCAUCAAAUACUUUUACACUAAUUCUAACAUCUUUUUCAGACAUUUCUGCAUUUUAAAAACUAUUGCUUGAAGUUUAAAAUUCACAGAUUGUUUAUUCCUGAUUUUUCGUAUUUCAUUUGUAAUUCACGAAUUUUGGAACACUUUGUAUGUAUGCAUGUAUGUUUUUUUGUUUGUGAUUACAAACAUGUGCCCGUAAACCUGCAUGUAUACGUAUGUAUAUGUUUGAAAUAACAAAGUAGAAUCUACAUCAAAUAUCUCGAUUCAAAAACCAAAAGCGUUUGUCUCUGUUAUUUUCAGGAGAUGUUGCAACA